CGGGUGAGUAACGCGUGGAUAACCUGCCUCACACUGGGGGAUAACAGUUAGAAAUGACUGCUAAUACCGCAUAAGCGCACAGUACCGCAUGGUACGGUGUGAAAAACUCCGGUGGUGUGAGAUGGAUCCGCGUCUGAUUAGCCAGUUGGCGGGGUAACGGCCCACCAAAGCGACGAUCAGUAGCCGGCCUGAGAGGGUGAACGGCCACAUUGGGACUGAGACACGGCCCAA
rnacentral:rRNA from 1 species